CAGCAGAAGCAAAACACAAUUACUAGCUAUAGCUACUAGUAAUACACACAUGCACAAGGGUACUUCUCCUCCCCCCAAAUUUAUGCAACACAAACAAAAUUAAUAGUUAUGGAUGCAACUAGUAAGACACACAAACACACAAGGGUACUACUUCUCCCCUAAAUCUGUGCACCACAUACAACUCCUUUAAUAAUAACAUCACCUGUAACCACAACACAUGUAACAAUCAUAAUAU
rnacentral:lncRNA from 1 species